UUUCCUUCGUUUAAUUUUAUCAUAUACGCACUCGAAUAUAUCUGUAAUUCACCUUACUUACGUGCGCUGUUUGCUGGGAAUUGAUCAUGAGUUCAACGUUGAUGGGUCAGGGCCGUUUAGAACAGCUUUUAAAAUUUUUGGAUUUUAAUAUUUCUUUUCUGUUCGUAUUGGAUAACUUGUGAUCAGGUCCGGGUAUAACGGACUAUGUACUCCUCUCACCGCCAGCAAAGCGGGAGUUUUUGCCCGGUCGUUUAACUCCAAUCCUUGAAUUAGUCGACCCCGGAUUAAAGUAGAGGUGUGCCCUUGGACACAAAAUCCUUCCAAAUGCCCUGUGCUUCUGCCCUCAAUCCUCGCACUGCGCUUGCGCUCUCAAUCCUGGCUCUGGCAGAUUUUAAUAGUUUGGGAUGUGUUUCAAAGACGCUUACAAUACGGCUUGACAAUUUAAAACAGGCUUUUCAAGUACUAAGUUAUUGAUUAAGCGAUAACAAAGGAAUAGGUUGUAAUGCCAAUACAUGCAGUAGUAGCAGCAACAGCAUUUUGAAUCCAUUCAGUCUGAAUCAGCAUUCUACAUCACAAUGAUUGUAAAAUGACAUCCACAGAAAUAAGUCUGGACUCUGGCUAUUGUUGAGGAAUGAGAGGAGUUAACAUAAUUUCUAGUUUCAAACUGAGGCAAAGGUCACUGAGAAUGGUUCAGAUCAAAAUACUAACGCUAGAAGAAUAUAAAGCAUGAUAGUUUUUGCGAUCGUUAAAGAAAGAUAUCCGUAGGUUGGUUUGGGGAUAGUGUACAUGGUAAACGUUUGUAUCUGUGGAGAAGGCUGCGGGAUACUCGCAAAUGUGGUCUCAUGGGAUUUCUUCCAUAUCUCUUUGCAAACAAACCUCUUUCACACCUCCAGAGAUGAUUGUUGCUACACGCUUUGGCACCCCUUGUAGCAGUAUGUUAAUGUUGGUGGGACAGCUAGCAUUCCCAGUGCAGAUGUGAACCCAAUUUGAUCUAGCUGAAUUAGACACUGAUGAGUGAUGAAUGGAAUAUAGCGGUGGUGGGAAAUUUAACUUUCUUUGAACCUCAAGGCCUCCAAUGCUACCGUGAAUCUGUGAUUGGUACAAGUAAAACCACAGCUGGGCAUUUUGGCUUUGCAUUAAUUUUUUCUUACCUA